GCGUCGGUAGUACAACGGUUGAGCAUGCGCCCCCGGAUGGGGUGAAAUGUGGGCUCGAAUCCCACCUGAUGCA